AGAGUUUGAUCCUGGCUCAGGAUGAACGCUAGCUACAGGCUUAACACAUGCAAGUCGAGGGGCAGCAUGAACUUAGCUUGCUAAGUUUGAUGGCGACCGGCGCACGGGUGAGUAACACGUAUCCAACCUGCCGAUGACUCGGGGAUAGCCUUUCGAAAGAAAGAUUAAUACCCGAUGGCAUAGUUCUUCCGCAUGGUAGAACUAUUAAAGAAUUUCGGUCAUCGAUGGGGAUGCGUUCCAUUAGGUUGUUGGCGGGGUAACGGCCCACCAAGCCUUCGAUGGAUAGGGGUUCUGAGAGGAAGGUCCCCCACAUUGGAACUGAGACACGGUCCAAACUCCUACGGGAGGCAGCAGUGAGGAAUAUUGGUCAAUGGACGAGAGUCUGAACCAGCCAAGUAGCGUGAAGGAUGACUGCCCUAUGGGUUGUAAACUUCUUUUAUACGGGAAUAAAGUGAGGCACGUGUGCCUUUUUGUAUGUACCGUAUGAAUAAGGAUCGGCUAACUCCGUGCCAGCAGCCGCGGUAAUACGGAGGAUCCGAGCGUUAUCCGGAUUUAUUGGGUUUAAAGGGAGCGUAGGCGGACGCUUAAGUCAGUUGUGAAAGUUUGCGGCUUAACCGUAAAAUUGCAGUUGAUACUGGGUGUCUUGAGUACAGUAGAGGCAGGCGGAAUUCGUGGUGUAGCGGUGAAAUGCUUAGAUAUCACGAAGAACUCCGAUUGCGAAGGCAGCCUGCUGGACUGUAACUGACGCUGAUGCUCGAAGGUGUGGGUAUCAAACAGGAUUAGAUACCCUGGUAGUCCACACAGUAAACGAUGAAUACUCGUUGUUUGCGAUAUACAGUAAGCGGCCAAGCGAAAGCGUUAAGUAUUCCACCUGGGGAGUACGCCGGCAACGGUGAAACUCAAAGGAAUUGACGGGGGCCCGCACAAGCGGAGGAACAUGUGGUUUAAUUCGAUGAUACGCGAGGAACCUUACCCGGGCUUGAAUUGCAACUGAAUGAUGUGGAGACAUGUCAGCCGCAAGGCAGUUGUGAAGGUGCUGCAUGGUUGUCGUCAGCUCGUGCCGUGAGGUGUCGGCUUAAGUGCCAUAACGAGCGCAACCCUUAUCGAUAGUUACCAUCAGGUGAUGCUGGGGACUCUGUCGAGACUGCCGUCGUAAGAUGUGAGGAAGGUGGGGAUGACGUCAAAUCAGCACGGCCCUUACGUCCGGGGCUACACACGUGUUACAAUGGGGGGUACAGAAGGCAGCUACACGGCGACGUGAUGCUAAUCCCGAAAGCCUCUCUCAGUUCGGAUUGGAGUCUGCAACCCGACUCCAUGAAGCUGGAUUCGCUAGUAAUCGCGCAUCAGCCACGGCGCGGUGAAUACGUUCCCGGGCCUUGUACACACCGCCCGUCAAGCCAUGAAAGCCGGGGGUACCUGAAGUGCGUAACCGCAAGGAGCGCCCUAGGGUAAAACUGGUGAUUGGGGCUAAGUCGUAACAAGGUAGCCG
rnacentral:rRNA from 1 species